GUGAUCGCUCGGGUCCGCGUGGCCACAAAGAGAGAAAGUACCAAGACAGGAGAAAUUUAGAAAAGCUGCACUCACCAGUGUUCUGCCUCCUGGGGUCCCUGGCUAUGUGUCCUGAAUUCCAUUUCUAACAAUAGAAUGUUAGAGAAAAAUAUUCCAGCACCAGGAGUCAAACGAUAUCUUCAGAUGCCCUUGAGAAGAAGCAAUUUUGACUGAAGGCUUGCAGUAAACAGCGUCAAGUACAGGAUUGAGUUGAAGGAGUGUGAUGCAAUGGAAAGAGCACUGGAUUUAGAAUCAGAGCAUCAGUUCAAAUUCCAGCUUUACCUCUCGUUAAUACUUGUGUAAAUUUGGGGAAU
rnacentral:lncRNA from 1 species